GACGAACGCUGGCGGCGUGCUUAACACAUGCAAGUCGAACGGUGAAGGGACCGGUUUUUGCUGGUUCUGGAUGAGUGGCGAACGGGUGAGUAACACGUGAGUAACCUGCCCCCUUCUUCUGGAUAACCGCAUGAAAGUGUGGCUAAUACGGUAUAUUCUGCGCCUGCUGCAUGGUGGGUGUGGGAAAGAUAUUGUUUCGGUGGGGGAUGGGCUCGCGGCCUAUCAGCUUGUUGGUGGGGUGAUGGCCUACCAAGGCGGUGACGGGUAGCCGGCCUGAGAGGGUGGACGGUCACACUGGGACUGAGACACGGCCCAGACUCCUACGGGAGGCAGCAGUGGGGAAUAUUGCACAAUGGGCGCAAGCCUGAUGCAGCGACGCCGCGUGAGGGAUGGAGGCCUUCGGGUUGUAAACCUCUUUCGCCAGUGAAGCAGGCCUGUCCCUUUUGUGGGUGGGUUGACGGUAGCUGGAUAAGAAGCGCCGGCUAACUACGUG
rnacentral:rRNA from 1 species